rnacentral:lncRNA from 1 species
AACCAAAUAAGCUCUCAUCCACCCCAUGUUUAAGUUGUAACAUUGGUAUCAAAGUCAAACUCGGAGUGAGGACCGAACCCUUAAAACUCCAACAAUGUACACUAAAAAUAAUUUCAGAAAAUUUUGGUAAAACUAACACUACCAGCGAAAAAUCGGGAGGGCCAGGGCACCCCGAGCCACCAAGAUGCUCCGCCAGUAUGAGUAUGAUUGAACGUUAUACACCUUUACUAAACCACAUAUAUAUAACAUAUAGCCUAAUAUGGGAGGAUCAAUUGAGAAGAAAAUUUUAAUUGAGAAAAAAAUAACAAAAGGUAUAAUUGAAAAAUAUUAAAUAGUUUUUCUCUCAUCUCAUUUAUUAUUAUUUUUAACUAAUUAAUUAUUCCGAAAUACUAUCAUCUUCUACACAUAUUUUUUUGCUACACACAUCAAAAUUUAUCCUACAAAUUUCGAAAUUUAUCUUACGCGUAGAAAUUUAUCGUACACAUAUCAAAAUUUCUCUUAUACUUUAUCUUACAUAGCUCAUCAAAAUUUAUCUUAUAUUUUAUCUUAUAUAGCUCGGAAUUUAUCAUGCGCACCUUGUAAUUUAUCAUACACUCUAAAUUAUUAUUAUUAUUUUUUAGAAAAAAUUUAUAUUUUGAAAAUAUGUUACAAAUUUAAUGUAGUUAGUUAUUAAAGAGGAAGACUAAAAAUUAAUGUUACAAAUCUAAUAUACCUUACAAUAACAUUAAAAUAUAAAUAUCAAAUAAAACAAAAUGAAACAUUCUUAUUAUUGUUAAAAAAUUAUAAAGAAUUUCUUCAAAUUUGCUAAUAAAUAGAUUAUCAAUUUAUAGGUUUAUUCUGUAUAUAAACCUGACCAGAAAUAAAAUUCUUGAAGAGGUAAUAAAUGAAUUGCAGUUAUUGUCAAAAAACAAACUGAAAUGAGUGUGUGUGUGUGUGUUUCGGAUCUAAACUUAUAUGAAAUGGUUGCCAUAUAAUAAGCUAACACUUUGUGAUAUAAUAAAAAAAUACAUAAUUGUUAUCUAACUCUAGAUGUAAACUAUUUAAACCUACAAUUGUAUGACUGGUUUUCUGUGUUAUCUAACUCUCUUAGUUCCUUUGACAUAUAUUGUUGAGUUUAUUUUUAGUUUCCGGUUUUGUUUUCCUUUUUAUUCAUGUUGGAGUUUUAUUUUCGUUGCUAACUUUUACUUUUAGUUUAUAUAUUUUUUCAUCUAAAAGAAGAAAGGUAGGUGAUGGGGUUUGGGUGUGUUUGCUUGAUCUUUAAAUGAGGUUAUAG